GAUGAACGCUGGCGGCGUGCCUAAUACAUGCAAGUCGAGCGAACAGAUGAGGAGCUUGCUCCUCUGACGUUAGCGGCGGACGGGUGAGUAACACGUGGAUAACCUACCUAUAAGACUGGGAUAACUUCGGGAAACCGUAGCUAAUACCGGAUAAUAUAUUGAACCUCAUUGUUCAAUAGUGAAAGACGGUUUUGCUGUCACUUAUAGAUUGAUCCGCGCCGCAUUAGCUAGUUGGUAAGGUAACGGCUUACCAAGGCGACGAUGCGUAGCCGACCUGAGAGGGUGAUCGGCCACACUGGAACUGAGAAACGGUCCCGACUCCUACAGGAGGACGCAGCAGGGAAUCUUCCGCAAUGGGCGAAAGCCUAACGGAGCAACGCCGCGUGAGGGAUGAAGGUCUUCGGCUCGUAAAACUCUGUAAUUAGGAAAGAACAAAUGUGUAAGUAACUAUGCACGUCUUGACGGUACCUAAUCAGAAAGCCACGGCUAACUACGUG
rnacentral:rRNA from 1 species